GAUGGACAACAGGUUGAUAUUCCUGUACUACCGAUAACCGUUUGAGAGAUGGGAUGACACAGUAGGAUAAGCUAAGCACACUGUUGGUUAUGUGUGCCCAAGCAUUGAGGCAGUCAAAGUAGGCAAAUCCGCUUUGAUAAUGCUGGGAUGUGAUGGGGAGCGAAAUUUAGUAGCGAAGUAGCUGAUUUCACACUGUCAAGAAAAGUCUCUAUCGAGGUUAAAGGUACCCGUACCGCAAACCGACACAGGUGGGUGAGGAGAGUAUCCUAAGGCUAGCGAGAGAACUGUUGUUAAGGAACUCGGCAAAAUGACCCCGUAACUUAGGGAUAAGGGGUGCCACCAUCAGGUGGCCGCAGAGAAUAGGCCCAAGCGACUGUUUACCAAAAACAUAGGUUUCUGCUAAGUCGCAAGACGAUGUAUAGGAGCUGACGCCUGCCCGGUGCUGGAAGGUUAAGGGAAUCUGUUAGAGCAAUCGAAGCAGUGAACUUAAGCCCCAGUAAACGGCGGCCGUAACUAUAACGGUCCUAAGGUAGCGAAAUUCCUUGUCGGGUAAGUUCCGACCCGCACGAAAGGCGUAACGAUUUGGGCACUGUCUCAACAACAGACUCGGUGAAAUUGUAAUUCCGGUGAAGAUGCCGGAUACCUGCGACAGGACGGAAAGACCCCAUGGAGCUUUACUGUAGCUUGACAUUGGGUCUUGGUACUACAUGUACAGGAUAGGUGGGAGGCUUUGAAACCAGGACGCCAGUUUUGGCGGAGCCAUCCUUGGGAUACCACCCUUGUAGUACUGGGACUCUAACCAUAGGCCAUGAAUCUGGUCUUGGGACACUGUCAGGUGGGCAGUUUGACUGGGGCGGUCGCCUCCCAAAAGGUAACGGAGGCGCUCAAAGGUUCUCUCAGUACGGUCGGAAAUCGUACGUAGAGUGUAAAGGCAAAAGAGAGCUUGAUUGC
rnacentral:rRNA from 1 species